rnacentral:rRNA from 1 species
UACGAAGGGGGCUAGCGUUGCUCGGAAUCACUGGGCGUAAAGGGUGCGUAGGCGGGUCUUUUAAGUCAGGGGUGAAAUCCUGGAGCUCAACUCCAGAACUGCCUUUGAUACUGAAGAUCUUGAGUUCGGGAGAGGUGAGUGGAACUGCGAGUGUAGAGGUGAAAUUCGUAGAUAUUCGCAAGAACACCAGUGGCGAAGGCGGCUGACUGGGCCAUUACUGACG